rnacentral:rRNA from 1 species
UACGAAGGGGGCUAGCGUUGCUCGGAAUCACUGGGCGUAAAGGGUGCGUAGGCGGGUUUUUAAGUCAGAGGUGAAAUCCUGGAGCUCAACUCCAGAACUGCCUUUGACACUGAAAGUCUUGAGUAUGGGAGAGGUGAGUGGAACUGCGAGUGUAGAGGUGAAAUUCGUAGAUAUUCGCAAGAACACCAGUGGCGAAGGCGGCUCACUGGCCCGAUACUGACGCUGAGGCACGAAAGCGUGGGGAGCAAACAGG